GGCCUCCUGGUGCUAACCAAGGCUGUCUUCCUGUACUGACUGAAGCAGAGAAAGAGGAAGCAGAGUAAACCUGUACCAUGUGCACCUUAGCCCAGUCCUGUGUGUGCCUGGUCUCUACUAUAAAUGCAGGGAAAUGA
ensembl:snoRNA